GAAACCAACCGGGAUUGCCUUAGUAACGGCGAGUGAAGCGGCAAAAGCUCAAAUUUGAAAUCUGGUACCUUCGGUGCCCGAGUUGUAAUUUGGAGAGGGCAACUUUGGGGCCGUUCCUUGUCUAUGUUCCUUGGAACAGGACGUCAUAGAGGGUGAGAAUCCCGUGUGGCGAGGAGUGCGGUUCUUUGUAAAGUGCCUUCGAAGAGUCGAGUUGUUUGGGAAUGCAGCUCUAAGUGGGUGGUAAAUUCCAUCUAAAGCUAAAUAUUGGCGAGAGACCGAUAGCGAACAAGUACAGUGAUGGAAAGAUGAAAAGAACUUUGAAAAGAGAGUGAAAAAGUACGUGAAAUUGUUGAAAGGGAAGGGCAUUUGAUCAGACAUGGUGUUUUGUGCCCUCUGCUCCUUGUGGGUAGGGGAAUCUCGCAUUUCACUGGGCCAGCAUCAGUUUUGGUGGCAGGAUAAAUCCAUAGGAAUGUAGCUUGCCUCGGUAAGUAUUAUAGCCUGUGGGAAUACUGCCAGCUGGGACUGAGGACUGCGACGUAAGUCAAGGAUGCUGGCAUAAUGGUUAUAUGCCGC
rnacentral:rRNA from 1 species